rnacentral:rRNA from 1 species
AGAGUUUGAUCCUGGCUCAGAUUGAACGCUGGCGGCAUGCUUUACACAUGCAAGUCGAACGGGGUUAAGGGGCUUGCUCCUUAAUCUAGUGGCGAACGGGUGAGUAAUGCAUCGGAACGUACCCGGGAGUGGGGGAUAACGCACCGAAAGGUGUGCUAAUACCGCAUAUUCUGUGAGCAGGAAAGCAGGGGACCUUAGGGCCUUGUGCUUCCGGAGCGGCCGAUGUCGGAUUAGCUAGUUGGUGAGGUAAAGGCUCACCAAGGCGACGAUCCGUAGCGGGUCUGAGAGGAUGAUCCGCCACACUGGGACUGAGACACGGCCCAGACUCCUACGGGAGGCAGCAGUGGGGAAUUUGGACAAUGGGCGCAAGCCUGAUCCAGCCAUGCCGCGUGUCUGAAGAAGGCUUCGGGUGUAAG